rnacentral:pre_miRNA from 1 species
UUUUGAGAAGUCAACCUAAUGCACUUUGUGAUGUGCUUUUGAAUUGGAGUCGUAUCACAGUGGAUUUGGUUUAUUUCUUACAU